GAAGGUCCAAGCGUUAUCCGGUGUUAUUAGGCGUAAAGCGUCCGCAGGUGGCAUAGCACAUCUUUGGGUUAAAUACCGGAGCUCAACUCCGGGAAAAGCCAAAGAGAUGGCUACGCUCGAGGCCGGGAGAGGCACAUGGAACAGCUGGUGUAGUAGUAAAAUGCGUUUAUAUCAGCUGGAACGCCAAAAGCGAAGGCAGUGUGCUGGAACGAGCCUGACACUCAUGGACGAAAGCGUGGGUAGCGAAUGGGAUUAGAUACCCCCGUAGUCCACGCCGUAAACGAUGGGCACUAGCCAUUGGGAGCUCGACCCUCUCAGUGGCGCUUUUAAAAAAGCUAACGCGUUAAGUGCCCCGCCUGGGGAGUACGGCCGCAAAGGCUAA
rnacentral:rRNA from 1 species